rnacentral:miRNA from 1 species
UAGACACGAGUGUUGUCUACGAGGGCAUCCUUGUGUCUGUGUGUGUG